rnacentral:lncRNA from 1 species
ACCCUCAAAGCAGAGGGAUUCGGCAGCAGAGACAACAGGAAAUGGAGCUGCAAGCGAGGCCAGCAAUCCAAAGGAACAGGCUGCAAGGGUGAAAAGGAAGGGCGGAGAAGUGGAUGAGCUCUUUGGAAAGCUUAAAAAGGCGUCGAAACCUAAAACAGCUGAGGUAGUACCAUCCGUCAUGAUGACCAUGCCUUUCAGGUUGCACAAGAUAAUUGUGAGAGGCAGGUGGUGUUCAUGAUCACUUAAGCCAUGAUCCUUGUUCCAGGCGCCUGGAAAAAAGCCAGCAAAGCGGAAAAAAGCUGUUGGCAGCAAGGAGGACA